rnacentral:rRNA from 1 species
GAUGAACGCUGGCGGCGUGCCUAAUACAUGCAAGUCGAGCGAACGGACGAGAAGCUUGCUUCUCUGAUGUUAGCGGCGGACGGGUGAGUAACACGUGGAUAACCUACCUAUAAGACUGGGAUAACUUCGGGAAACCGGAGCUAAUACCGGAUAAUAUUUUGAACCGCAUGGUUCAAAAGUGAAAGACGGUCUUGCUGUCACUUAUAGAUGGAUCCGCGCUGCAUUAGCUAGUUGGUAAGGUAACGGCUUACCAAGGCAACGAUGCAUAGCCGACCUGAGAGGGUGAUCGGCCACACUGGAACUGAGACACGGUCCAGACUCCUACGGGAGGCAGCAGUAGGGAAUCUUCCGCAAUGGGCGAAAGCCUGACGGAGCAACGCCGGGUGAGUGAUGAAGGUCUUCGGAUCGUAAAACUCUGUUAUUAGGUAAGAACAUAUGUGUAAGUAACUGUGCACAUCUUGACGGUACCUAAUCAGAAAGCCACGGCUAACUACGUG